AUCAACACGACGAGACUCCACCUACAUUAUUCUGUGUAUACAUUCUGUUGUAAACUCUGGCUGAGCAGCCUAAUUAUUCUGACUCCUCACAGAGUCACAUUCCUUAGGUCCGUGCACGAUAAACGGCAGGACAAGAUAACUUUGACCAAUAAACUGCCUUUUUGAUACACCUGAUUCCACUCUGUCCAGUCGUUGUUUUGCAUUCCCUCUCCAGUAUGAAACACCAACAAAAUGGUAGCAUGAGGAUGGUUAUUCCGGAAUUCGAUCUAUGAUAAAUUGGUGUGAGAGGACGAAACUGAUGACGGCUCAAAAUCAGACGGAAGUGUGACCUGUCCAAGAGACAAUCAGCCAUUCGUCUUGCCUCAGGAAAUCUGAUCGGAGCGCUCUACUUAAAAGGAGAAGAAGUAGCCCAGGUGUAGGCCUUCCUUCAUCCUCCCAUCUCUCUCUCCUCUCUCGUUCUGGAGUGAACCCUCUCAAGUCGUCCGUCAGUACCCCCUACCUCAACACAGUGGUGGCCCCUUUAGCAGCCAACUUCCCAGCGGGCCCGACUGCCCCUCCCACAUCCAGCGCCUCGUUCAACUGGGUGCCAAGGCAGAUGCUGAGUGGAGACGCGGCGGAGGAAGAGGGAGAGAGCGACGGAGACUCAGACAGAGGAGACGACAACAGGGGGGAAGGAGAAGAGGUUGACCUUGUCAUCGAUAUCCCCAACGAGUGAAGUGUGUGUGUGUGUGUGUGUGUGUGUGUGUGUGUGUGUGUGUGUGUGUGUGUGUGUGUGUAAAGGAUUGUUUGAAAGAGUGUGUAAGACCAUAAUGUGAGUCUGUGGAUUCAACCCCUCCCACUGUCAAAUGCUUAGCCAAGCUCCCCCCAGUGGACCUUCAGGUUACUGCAACAAUAUCUCUCUCUAAGCAAUGUGACCUGUCAUAAUAAUGUUACUAAUUGGCUCCUUUAAAGUCAUUUUACUGCUUUCUACUGUUAUACAAGUUAUGGAAGAACUGGUAUUGACGGCAUGGACAGCUACAGGACUGCAUACAUGUAGCACCUACCUUUUUAUAGGAAACUGUCAAAUUUUGAAUUUUCUGUUGGAGAUAAUGGAGACGUUAUGUUUUCUACCAAUGACUUUUAAAAAUUAAAUUGCAUUAAAGUGGUAACAUUUCAGAU